UACGAGAGGCCCAAACGUUAUUCGGAAUUACUGGGCUUAAAGAGUUCGUAGGCGGCGCAGAAAGUAGGGUGUGAAAGCCCUCGGCUUAACCGAAGAAUUGCGCCCUAAACUACUGUGCUUGAGGAACCUAGAGGUGAGCAGAACAGAUGGUGGAGCGGUGAAAUGCGUUGAUAUCAUCUGGAAUACCGGAGGCGAAGGCGGCUCACUGGGGGUUUUCUGACGCUGAGGAACGAAAGCCAGGGUAGCGAACGGG
rnacentral:rRNA from 1 species